CGCGUAGGCGGGCGUCUAAGUCAGGGGUGAAAUCCCGAGGCUCAACCUCGGAAUUGCCUUUGAUACUGGAUGUCUCGAGACCGGAAGAGGUGAGUGGAACUGCGAGUGUAGAGGUGAAAUUCGUAGAUAUUCGCAAGAACACCAGUGGCGAAGGCGGCUCACUGGUCCGGUUCUGACGCUGAGGCGCGAAAGCGUGGGGAGCAAACA
rnacentral:rRNA from 1 species